rnacentral:rRNA from 1 species
AUUGAACGCUGGCGGCAGGCCUAACACAUGCAAGUCGAGCGGAUGAGUGGAGCUUGCUCCAUGAUUCAGCGGCGGACGGGUGAGUAAUGCCUAGGAAUCUGCCUGGUAGUGGGGGACAACGUUUCGAAAGGAACGCUAAUACCGCAUACGUCCUACGGGAGAAAGCAGGGGACCUUCGGGCCUUGCGCUAUCAGAUGAGCCUAGGUCGGAUUAGCUAGUAGGUGAGGUAAUGGCUCACCAAGGCGACGAUCCGUAACUGGUCUGAGAGGAUGAUCAGUCACACUGGAACUGAGACACGGUCCAGACUCCUACGGGUGGCAGCAGUGGGAAUAUUGGGACAAUGGGCGAAAGACCUGAUCCAGCCAUGCCGCGUGUGUGAAGAAGGUCUUCGGAUUGU